GGAAAAUCGUCUAGUAUAUUACAAAAGCAAAAGCUCUUCAAUCAAUUAAAGUUUAGAUAAAAUUUUUAUUUCAUCUUUUGCUAUUUACUCCACCAACACCACUCCAACCUUUUGCUUUCCUCCCUCAGCCAACCACCACCACUAUCUCCAAUAUCUCCAAUGAUUUAACUAUCAACUCCACCACCACUUGCUCCCCACCCAACAAAUGCAAUAUUCACUCUCAUUUCAAUUUCAUCCAAAAGUUCAGAGGAUCAAUUCCAGUUCAGCCGAAGCUCUCAAGGUAAUGCUUGGUUUCAAUGCUUUCUUCUCCUUUGAUUAAGUUCAUCCUGCAAUUGUUAAGCAAAUAAGCAAUUUAUUUCAGUUUCUAUCCACUGAUUCAAACACCACAGCAGCCAACAUCAAUUACAAGCCUAAAUUUCUCAUUGAAUUCAAUAGCAACAAACAGCCACCAACACCAAGCAUAGCAGGUAUAUACUUAGCUCAGCUCCAGUUCAUACAUCAUAUCAUCAAGCAUAUGUUUAAAAAGGAAAUACAUAGUAUACAGGUGUGUAUAUAUAUGCACACAGGGACUUAGCAAUCGAAAUCAGUUUAUGCUAUAUUUUCUUAUCACACGAGGCAAGCAAGGAAAAUUCUUGAUACAUUAGUAAACCACGAACUUAGUUUUAUCUCUUGCAUAAUACAGAAAUCAGUAUAUAUUUUCUUCACUUAAGAUAAAGGCAAUGAGAAAACUCUCAUAAAUCAGUAGCAAAAACCAAGACUCCACAUAGACUUAAGUAUUGAACUUAGCUGUAGAAGGGCUGACUGCCCGACGGGGACGGGGACGACGACGACGGUCGGGACAGGGCGAACUCGUCCAACCUCAUCAGAGCCCCGAACAGCAGCUGCCCGGCGACGAGCUGAGACUCGUGCGCAGCAGCAGCGGUCGCUCGACAGUUGCGUUUUUCCCUUUUUCUGAGAACUAGGGCCCAACGACGGAAGGAGCGGUGGUGGCUGGGGCUGCUAUCGCCGGAUUUACAAAACGCCGCGGCGCUGAGCGGGGAGAGAGGGAGAGGCGGUUCAAAAUCGGAGAGGAAAUUAGGGCUUCUGCUGCACCUUCAUUGGGUUGAGAAGAACAGCCGACGCAGCCACGAACGAGACGCAACCGCUCUGUUCGACCGGUACCGAGCCCGAGCAGCAGCAACUCUAGUCGGCGAUGGCUCCAGAAGACAGCAGCCGUCGGAUUUCAGAAGGGGAGAGAGAGACGGCCACGACCGGCGCCGACCGCUCGCCGGAUUCCAUACGGAGGUGCGGCAGCUGCGAUUUACCAGGAGAAGUUAGGGCUUGAUUUUGAACUCUGCGUGCAGAUUGAGGAAGAGAGAUGACGUCGCCGGUCGAAGCCAACCGAAGCAGAUGACGGCUGGAGUCUCGGCGGCGGACGCCUCGUGUGAAGGCGAGUCGAGAGUGAGAGGGAGAAGAGGCGUGCGGCUGGUUUGAGAGAGGGGAGUGUCGGCUGUGAUUGAGGUAAAGGAGAGAUGGGAGAGAGAGAAGGACCGAGAGUCUAAAGAGAGAGAGUUUGGGCUGCAAUUCU
rnacentral:lncRNA from 1 species